CGGAUGAAAAUGGGGGAUGUGGGCCAGAUCUGGGCCAGAAUAAUUUUGCUAUCUGUGUAAUUGCGUAUUAGUGUUUGUGAGUCUGUGUCUCUAAUGCUGCCCUCUACUGACUGAACAAAUAUUAAAUCUUUCUCUCAGUUACACAGUUCACUGUGUGAGAGCUUUUAUUUGCUUUUGUUUGACAUUGUUUGACAUUCUAAAUGUAUUUCUAACAGGAAGUUUCCUCUCUGAAGAACAGCAUUCAGGAUAUGAGGAUGUGGAUGAGGAGCUUCCCGCAGCAAAGGCUGUGAAUGAGGAAAAAGCUGAAUAUUAUAAUGAUGUCACCAUCAGUGGCCUGAAAAGUGAGGUGGGAACAGAGGACACUCCAGAGAACUAUGAUGAUGUCAUCUCAAACUUCGGAAGAAUUAGCAAAGAACGAGGUGAAGAUCUAUGAUGAGGCCAUUCCUACUGGAGAGAAUCUACACAUUACAGCAGGCUGUGAUGAUGUGGUAGAGGUGUCUAAGAAAGAGGGACAGACCACGUGACAGAGACUCAAACAAUACCAAAUGUGUUAUUUUUUUUUUUUUUGUUUGUUUUUUGUUUUUUUUGUAUUUUGUAUUCUUUUGUGACAUUUCUCAUUAAACGUUUUUCUUUUUAAAAAGGAAAAUUAAAAUGUUUAGCUCAUCAUAUUCUAAACCACUUUGCCUUUUUUUCCA